GACUCGGUGGCGGAAGGUCCGCGUCUGCUGAGGCUAUCUCAAAGGCAUUUCCGUCCAAGCAGAAGAUGUCGGUUCGAUUCCGGCUCGAGUCA